rnacentral:rRNA from 1 species
CCCUUAGAUGUUCGGGGCCGCACGCGCGCUACACUGAAGGACUCAGCGUGUCUCUCCCCCUAUCCCGAAAGGGAUGGGCAACCCGUUGAACCUCAUUCGUGCUAGGGAUUGGGGUUUGCAAUUAUCCCCCAUGAACGAGGAAUUCCCAGUAAGCGCGAGUCAUCAGCUCGCGUUGAUUACGUCCCUGCCCUUUGUACACACCGCCCGUCGCUACUACCGAUUGGAUGGUUUAGUGAGACCCUCGGAUCGGUCCCGACUCGGGGUGGGCUUCUGCCCCGGUCGUGGUUUCGCCGAGAAGACGGUCAAACUUGACUAUCUAGAGGAAGUAAAAGUCGUAACA